rnacentral:snoRNA from 1 species
GGCUUCAUGUUGCCCAUUUAUUUUUGGAAACUAGUGAAUGUAGUAUCAAAAAAAAAAAGCAUAAAUUAAAUUCUCCACAGUCUUUUUCUGUUUUUGAUGUGAUAUGUUUGGUGUAGGAACUGCAUAGAUAACACUG